GAUUAAGUCAUGAGGGUGCAGCCCCCAUGACUGAGACCAGAGCCCUCACUAGGACCUCAGAGAGCUGCCUCAUCCCUCCUUCCAUCGUGUGAAGACCCAACAAGUUGGUACCAUCUGUAAGUCAGAAAGAAAGCACCCGUCACAUAUUGAAUCUGCCUUAACUUGGAUUUUCCAACCUAUAGAACUGUGAGAAAUACAUUUUUGAUGUUUGUAAGCUACCAGUUUAUGGUAUUUUAUUCUAGCAGCCUCAGAAGACUCAGACAAGAACUGACCAGACAGACCCUGCCAGAGUGGAUGGAUCGGGAGAACUGGCUCACCUCGAGGGUCACAGACCUUUCAGCCUCCUGUUACGGACUUGCAUGGGACCCUACACUGAACGUCAGGCCUUCAACUGGAUCCUUCAGCUCUCCAGUGCACAGACAGACCUUUAGCACUUCUCCACAUCUGACAUUACUGAGCAGUGAAGGGCAGUGUGGUCCUUGCUGAAAAAACUAUUCCCUCAAAGUGAGUCAGACCAAGACGGCAGUUGUCACACACAAAACAGGGAAGUUGUCCAGCAAGGAAGUAGAAGGCAUCUACUCAUUAUACAUGAGGAGGAGGAGACCGGAUACUCACGGAAACAUCUGUCAGUUUCUUCCAGAUCAGUGUAUCCCUAAUUCCAAUACUGACCUUCAGCUUCCUCCAAGUUCUGCUGUUCUAUGGCUUCUGUUUAGAAUAGUGAAUGAUG